AUCUAUGGCCAUACCACCCUGAACGCACACGAUCUUGUCUGCUCUCAGAAGCCAAGCAGGGUCGGGCCUGGUUAGUACUUGGAUGGGAGAUUUAUAGGAAAAUCCAAAGGCCAAUAGUUA
rnacentral:rRNA from 1 species